rnacentral:rRNA from 1 species
GACGAACGCUGGCGGCAGGCCUAACACAUGCAAGUCGAGCGAGCGGCGGACGGGUGAGUAAUGCCUGGGAAUUGCCCAGUCGAGGGGGAUAACAGUUGGAAACGACUGCUAAUACCGCUUACGAUUGGAUUGCCCCUGUGGGAUUAGCUAGUUGGUGAGGUAAUGGCUCACCAAGGCGCCGAUCCCUAGCUGGUCUGAGAGGAUGCUCAGCCAAACGGUACCGGAGACCAGGUCCAGACUCUUACGGGAGGCAGAAGUGGGGAAUAUUGCACAAUGGGGGAAACCCUGAUGCAGCCAUGCCGCGUGUGUGAAGAAGGCCUUCGGGUUGUAAAGCACUUUCAGCGAGGAGGCGUUACUCGCAGAAGAAGCAACGGCUAACUCCGUGCCAGCAGCCGCGGUAAUUC